GGAUUAGAUACCCUGGUAGUCCACGCCGUAAACGAUGUCUACUUGGAGGUUGUGGCCUUGAGCCGUGGCUUUCGGAGCUAACGCGCUAAGUAGACCGCCUGGGGAGUACGGCCGCAAGGUUAAAACUCAAAUGAAUUGACGGGGGCCCGCACAAGCGGUGGAGCAUGUGGUUUAAUUCGAUGCAACGCGAAGAACCUUACCUACACUUGACAUGCAGAGAACUUUCCAGAGAUGGAUUGGUGCCUUCGGGAACUCUGACACAGGUGCUGCAUGGCUGUCGUCAGCUCGUGCUG
rnacentral:rRNA from 1 species